AGGAACCCUUGAACACCAGGGGCCCAGCUGUCUCCCACACGAAGCUGUUCCCGGCGCUCACUCUUAUCGCUUCCCAGAAGGUGCGCAGGUCCAGAUUGGAGCGCUUGGCUGAGGAGACACAGAGGAGGGAAGAACCUCGGCGUGAAGGUGCUUGGACUCUGGGACUGGAAAACUGGAGGACUGGAAGGGAAGGUGGCGGCAGAAUGUUCUCAAGUGUAAAGUAAAGCUUCAGUCGCCUCUAGAAGCUUCAGUCAUUUCAGUAAGGCUUCAGUCACAUCUACAAGCUUCCAGUCACGUCAGGAAGGCUUCACUCACUUCAGUAAAGCUUCAGUCACCUCUACAAGCUUCCAGUCACGUCAGGAAGGCUUCACUCACUUCAGUAAAGCUUCAGUCACCUCUACAAGCUUCCAGUCACGUCAGUAAGGCCUCAGUCACUUCAGUAAGCUUGUCACCAUAACAUACAAGCUACGAAGGAACAGACUCCCUUCAACCGCUACC